AUACUGACCUGGCAGGUGAGAUAGCAUCAACAAGAAGGUGUGUCUCCGAGGCAAUGCUCAUCUGUUGCCCUUGGGGUGUGCUGACUCUUUUUUUUUUUUUUUAAUUUUCCCAGAUGCAAGAAACCCAGCUGCAUAAUUUGUGGUAGUGGGGAUUGCAUUUGUGUCUCCUUG
rnacentral:snRNA from 1 species